UGCUAAGACGGACUCACAUGCCGAGGCAAG
rnacentral:piRNA from 1 species